rnacentral:rRNA from 1 species
CGCAAGCCUGAUCCAGCCAUGCCGCGUGCAGGAAGAAGGCCUUCGGGUUGUAAACUGCUUUUGUCAGGGAAGAAAUCCUCUGGGGUUAAUACCUCGGAGGGGAUGACGGUACCUGAAGAAUAAGCACCGGCUAACUACGUGCCAGCAGCCGCGGUAAUACGUAGGGUGCGAGCGUUAAUCGGAAUUACUGGGCGUAAAGCGUGCGCAGGCGGCUUUGCAAGACAGAUGUGAAAUCCCCGGGCUCAACCUGGGAACUGCAUUUGUGACUGCAAGGCUAGAGUGCGGCAGAGGGAGAUGGAAUUCCGCGUGUAGCAGUGAAAUGCGUAGAUAUGCGGAGGAACACCGAUGGCGAAGGCAAUCUCCUGGGCCUGCACUGACGCUCAUGCACGAAAGCGUGGGGAGCAAACAGGAUUAGAUACCCUGGUAG